rnacentral:lncRNA from 1 species
UUCUUUCUGCCUGUCUCACUCUGCAGGGAGACAACCAGCAGUGAGGGCCAGAGCGCUCUGGGAAUGAGCCCUCUUCACAUUUGAGAUGCAGUGACCUCUGGGAGCUUUGUCUGACUGCACGCAACCUGAUGAAUUGUUGUUCUUGAGUCCUCAGCUUUUCUCCACAAUCUCCAUCUGCGUGGGGGUCUUUGGGGGACAGGAUGACAAUGUGGAGACGUUACGGCUGUAUGAAGGGAAAUAAAGUGGAGACGCUGGAAUCCUUUUAUUUGCUCUGCUGAGUCUGUGAGUGCAGGUGGGGGCUGGGGCCAGGAGGGGAAGGAGCCUGGGGAGGGCUGGUGUAUGGUGCAUGGUGAGGGUGCAGAUGCUUGUCUUUGCUUUGUACUGCUUGGGUGCACUUGUGGAUGUGGUAUAUUCAGACUUGUUCCAGGGCUUCAGACAGAGCCCAGGCUGCGUACUCCUCCUGGAACUGGAAUGAUGCACAAACAGGCUGUUGGCCCAUAGGCGGCCCCUCAGUGUGGACUUUCACAAGAGGAAGACGAUGAAGCAGAUGUCUUCAUUUAGUAAGCACUGGAAUAAGAUGCACACUUUGUGCCGUCGUUAUGGCUCUAAGGCAUACCAUCUUCAGAAGUCAACAUGUGGCAGGCAAAUGAAUGGAUUCCGUGAAGGAAGAACACCUAAACCCCAGAGAGCAGCUGUUGCAGCAUCUAGUUCAUCUUGAGGAUUCAACUGUUUGUUAAAAUAAAUGUCCUGAAUGAAAAAAGUAAGACA